AAGUCGUAACAAGGUUUCCGUAGGUGAACCUGCGGAAGGAUCAUUAUCGAAUAAACUUGAACAGGCUGUUGCUGGUCCCCAGGACAUUUUGUGCACGCUUGUCAUCUUUAUCAUCUCUCCAACUGUGCACAUAUUGUAGACCCUGGAAUUCAUGAAUUCCGAGUGGGGACUGCUGUGCUUCAAUUCGAAGCCGGCUUUCCCUCAGGUCUAUGUACAUAUUUUGUUUCACAACCUCUGUUUAGAAUGUUGAAAUAAAUGAAAAAGUUAUAAAAUACAACUUUCAGCAACGGAUCUCUUGGC
rnacentral:misc_RNA from 1 species